GAUGAACGCUAGCUACAGGCUUAACACAUGCAAGUCGAGGGGCAGCAUGCAGGUAGCUUGCUAUCUGUGAUGGCGACCGGCGCGACGGGUGAGUAACGCGUAUCCAACCUUCCCUAUAGUAGAGGAUAGCCCGGCGAAAGUCGGAUUAAUACUCUAUGUUUUCCAAUGCAGACAUCUAAAAUGGAACAAAGGUUUACCGCUAUAGGAUGGGGAUGCGUCUGAUUAGGUUGUUGGCGGGGUAACGGCCCACCAAGCCCUCGAUCAGUAGGGGUUCUGAGAGGAAGGUCCCCCACAUUGGAACUGAGACACGGUCCAAACUCC
rnacentral:rRNA from 1 species